UGCUCCGAUCAUCUAAUUGGUUAAGGAAACGGGCCCCUCAGGUUCGUAAUCUGGGUUCAAAUCCCAGCCGGAGCAU
rnacentral:tRNA from 1 species